ensembl:processed_transcript
GAAGCGAUGCCACCAAGAGAACACCCUUGUGCUAUUUUAGGAUGUAAGGCUCAGCACAAGGGCCUUCACCGUCUUCCUGCAAAUGAGCAACAGAGGCUUAAGUGGCUGAGUUUUAUCUUUGAAGACAAGGUGCCUGAAAAUGUACCAAAACUGUUGUAUGUUUGCGCUAACCACUUUAGCGUAGACUGCCUCGAGAACGCGGGACAAUACAACUGCGGAUUCGCGAGUAAAUUGUUUUUGAAAACUGGAUCAGUUCCUACAACACGUGAUCCUGCCUCACUUCAAGCCACGACGUCGACAAAGAGCAACAAGGUGGAUGUUUGUUGCCAGACAGAACCAUUUCACACAUCUUUACACAGUGUUGGUACCCAGUUGUCUUUUAGGACGCUUCAGGCUAAACGCAGGAGUACAAGUGUCCAGACAACAGUAUCCAGUUUUGAACUGACUGUACCAUCAGCGUCCUCUACUGCGUUUAUGACUUCGACACCCCUCAAACCUUCACUAAAAAGACCUCGUCUGGAGCUGGAGGAGGAGGAGGAGGAGGAGGAGGAGGAAGAAGAAGAAGCCGAAGAGACUUUGACAGAGUCAAAAAUUAUAGCCCAAGACUCGGAUGUGAGAUUUGACCCUGCAGAGGAAUGCACAUCUGCAACUGAACCAACAGACUUGUCAAUCCAAGAAUGCCCAGUUCAUAACAUUGCCAAGUUCAUUGUCUAUGAAACAUGCCUCAUGGAGCUCUUCAGUGACUGCCCAGUGUGUCAGAGGAGAUGUGAUGUAAAGUCACAAAGGCUUGGGACAUUUCUGAGCGUACAGCAAGUCUGCCCACACUGCGAGUUUGUAAGAAAAUGGAACAGUCAGCCAAUUAUUGGUAGUACUCCAGCUGGCAACCUGCAUCUUUCUGCUGCUGUCUACUUGAGUGGUGCAUAAUUUUUUGUAGUUGAAAAGGUAUUUGCUGCCAUGAAACUACACAUUUUUAAAUAUGAUUCAUUUCGUCGUCAUGCAAGACUUUGCAUUGAACCUGCUAUUGUCCACAAGUGGAGAAAUUGGCAGAGUGAAAUGCUAGAACAGCUCAGUCGAAGAGAGAAUAUGAUUGUUGGAGGAGAUAAGAGGGCUGACUCCCAGGUCACUCGGCCAAGUAUGGGAGUUAUACAAUGAUGGACCUUGCAACUAACACAGUGGUCGACCUACAGUUAGUCCAGAGUAAUGAGGUGGGCGGCAGUUACCAUAUGGAAAAAGAAGGCCUAAAGAGAAGCCUUGACCUGUUGGAUGCCCGCGGUGUUCGUCUGGAAUGCAUCAUCACAGACCGACAUCCUCAAAUACAGAAAUAUCUCAGGGAUCGAAAUGUCACUCAGUUUUACGAUGUGUGGCAUAUCGAGAAAGGAAUUUCCAAAAAAACUGGACCAGAUAUGCCAGAUAAAGGGGUGUGAGAAGUUGCGUAAAUGGUUGCGUAGCAUCAAAAACCACAUCUACUGGACUGCUGCAUCAUCCACAACAGGUCCUGAAAGAGUGGCAAAGUGGACCUCUAUCAUAAACCAUGUACAUGAAGACCCCAAUUUUCCGGCUUAUCUGCAUCCGCAACGGAUAAGCAGAGACGAGAACAAAUGGCUGUCGGCUGCAACGAUGCCAUUCUACAAGCUGGAGAAAGUUCUCGCUAACAAGAGAAUAUUGAAGGAUGUGGCCAAGCUAAGUCCUCACCACCAGACGUCAACUGUUGAAGCUUUCCACAGCGUCCUACUGCGGUUUGCACCCAAAAAUGUGGUAUUCCCAUUUCUGGGGAUGCUAUGCAGGUUGUACUUGGCUGCACUGCAUUACAAUGAAAAUGCCGGGCGUCCCCAGGCCACAUCAGCAACUGGUAAACCUAUUUACAAGCUUGCCUUUCCAAAGGCAAAGAAAGGAGAGUAUAGGGUCCGAAAAGUGAAGACGCAGCAAACUUUCGGUUAUGUAGAAGAGCUGCUGGACCUCAUCUUCAACCAAGUGUUUGUGGACCCAUCACCCUAUGUUGAUGAAGUGUUGGGAAUUCACAUACCACCUGCUCUAUCAUCAGCCUGCGAUCGACCUGAGAUGGAGGAGGCUAUCUCCAGCAGGGUGACCCGCUUCAAUCAAUAGCUAUCCUAAAACCCACAUAGCUGCCCUGCUCUUCAGGAAACUG